rnacentral:snRNA from 1 species
UUAAAUUAAAUCCAACUAA